rnacentral:rRNA from 1 species
AGCAGCCGCCGCGGUAAUACGGAAGGUCCAGGCGUUAUCCGGAUUUAUUGGGUUUAAAGGGAGUGUAGGCGGUCUGUUAAGCGUGUUGUGAAAUUAGGUGCUCAACAUCUAACUUGCAGCGCGAACUGGCGGACUUGAGUGCACGCAACGUAUGCGGAAUUCAUGGUGUAGCGGUGAAAUGCUUAGAUAUCAUGACGAACUCCGAUUGCGAAGGCAGCGUACGGGAGUGUUACUGACGCUUAAGCUCGAAGGUGCGGGUAUCGAACAGGAUUAGAUACCCGCUAGUCCCUGUCUCUUAUACAC